rnacentral:rRNA from 1 species
CCUACGGGAGGCAGCAGUGGGGAAUUUUGGACAAUGGGCGAAAGCCUGAUCCAGCAAUGCCGCGUGUGUGAAGAAGGCCUUCGGGUUGUAAAGCACUUUUGUCCGGAAAGAAAUCCUUGGCUCUAAUACAGUGGGGGAUGACGGUACCAGGAGAAUAAGCCCG